rnacentral:rRNA from 1 species
GACGAACGCUGGCGGCGUGCCUAAUACAUGCAAGUAGAACGCACAGUUUAUACCGUAGCUUGCUACACCAUAGACUGUGAGUUGCGAACGGGUGAGUAACGCGUAGGUAACCUGCCUGGUAGCGGGGGAUAACUAUUGGAAACGAUAGCUAAUACCGCAUAAUAUUGAUUAUUGCAUGAUAAUUAAUUGAAAGGUGCAAUUGCACCACUACCAGAUGGACCUGCGUUGUAUUAGCUAGUAGGUGAGGUAACGGCUCACCUAGGCGACGAUACAUAGCCGACCUGAGAGGGUGAUCGGCCACACUGGGACUGAGACACGGCCCAGACUCCUACGGGAGGCAGCAGGAGGGAAUCUUCGGCAAUGGACGAAAGUCUGACCGAGCAACGCCGCGUGAGUGAAGAAGGUUGUCGGAUCGUAAAGCUCUGUUGUAAGAGAAGAACGGGUGUGAGAGUGGAAAGUUCACACUGUGACGGUAUCUUACCAGAAAGAGACGGCUAACUACGUG